CAGACAUCUGCAUCAUUCACAUCCUGAAAUGUUCUCACAGUUUUCAUAAUUACCCUCAACUGCACUCAAACUACGGUAACGAGCUGGUUUGGAAAAUGUGAGGAGGAGAAAGUUUAGAUGUCGAGAGGAGAAGUCAAAGAAAUACUCAAGUAAAGUACAAAUACCUGGAGCAUCUACUUCAGUACAACGUCACCAUCCGAUGAUCUAAAACUCUCAUCUACACAACAAGGACAGGAAACACACACACACACACACACACACACACACCUCGCUGCCUUUGGCCAGAGCGAAGCCUCCUCCCAGCAGCAGGAGGAUGUUCCACGGCAUCUUCUUCUGUGUAACCUGCCAGACCUCCUCCAGAAGCAGAGGAAGUACGGCGGCUCGGAGGGAAGAACAAACAACAGAAUGGCGACAAACAGAGAGACGGUCGCGUCAGUGACGAACCUGCAGACACAAACAGAGAAUUACUGUUUUUCUUCCAGCGAUCAGGAUCAAUGGAAAUGUACAUAAAUCAACUUUAUGUUUAAUAUGUAGAUUUAUGAAACCAAAUCCUCCCCCUCAACCGUCCUGUGAGUCUGUAUUGAUUCAGACCUCCACAUGGUGCAACACAGCCGCUCAGUUCAUGAUGAAGAUUUCACCACAAAGUAUUUACCUGAACUCAGCGACCAAAAGUCCUCUCAGGCUUUUUGUGUGUUUUAUCUUAACCUUUUAGGGCUUUCAUUGAAAGAACGCAGGAUUUUUCAGUGUUCAGAAUGUAUUAAAGCUUAAAAGACAAAACAACAUACAGCAUGUCACCAUAUCAGUAACAGACAGAGCUCCUCCACUCGCUCAUCUCUGUGUCAGCAGGGUUAGUUAGUCUACAGGGACAUUUUACAUUUUUGUCUCUGAAAAUGACACAAUGAGAGUGAACCAGAGCAGUAAAGUUGUGUUUGGAGCUGAAUCUCACUGUGAAGCUGCAGAUUCAGCUGAUAAUUCACCGAACACAUUGUCUCACCAUUCAGUUCUAUGUCCUUAUUUGUGAGACAUCAGGUUCUGUGUGAGUACGAUCAGAUGUCCAUCUGCACGUCUGAGCUUCACUAUCACACUGUGUAAUCAGGAAACAUGUUGAAACCAUCCGUUUGCACAAACCACAGGUCCAAGGUGACCGAUUACCCACAACUGCCUUUCAAACCAGGCCAAAAGAUCACGAGUCUGCGUCCUGCUGCCUUUGACCUUGUUUUUUAGGAUGAGGAGAAAGAAAGUGUCACUCAGCUGGAUGACAAACUAACCGACAAACAUCCUGCUGUCAGCUGAUCUACACAAGGAUUUGGCAACACCGUCAGAUCUGUGACUUCUGGUUCCAGUCCAUAAAUGUUCUCAACUACACCACUAAGUUUCCCCCAUAUCGAAGACGAUGUUAUCCUGCGUGGUCUGGAGGCUGUCUGGUGUCACUGGUUUGUGCUCGACUUUGUUAAACAAACAACAAGUGACGCAGCUGACAGAGUUUAUCAUGAGCUGUAGUUUCCCUGGUAAACACAUCAACCUCUUCAGCUGUCGCAGCUGCAGUGUUUGUUUGUUUGUUGGUUAGUGGACCGUCAGGUAUCCCAGCAGACACCCAGCCUGUCUGCUCAGCCUAACAAGCCCAGAGACACUUUGAGGAGCGACUCAGGAGGAUGAGAGACUCUGACAACAGCAGCAGACGACUGACAGAGAGUCUGAAGAGGUCGGUGUGUUUACCGGGAAAACUCCAGCAUGCCAAGAUGAAGAAUUAUCUGGGAACAAACAGUGAGCGUUUCCCAUCAGCUGUGAGUUCACUGCGUCUUUUUGGAUUCCAAUGCGUCGCAGCAUAUUCGUCACAGUGUGAUAAUGAUAGUAAGCUCAGUAACAGCAUGAGCAGAUCUGCUCUGCUGCAGUCAGUGCUCUGUCCAGUUUGUCUGUUACAGGCACAAACUGUGAAGCGCUUCAGAUAAAAACACACUUAUGUUGAUGAUCUCUCACUGAAAGUUUCACAGAUUCAUACUCUCUAUGUAAUGUGUUUGGCUAGAUAUUUAUAAUAAGAACUGAUGUGUGGUAAUCUGUUCUGAUUGUCACUGUUGUUAGUCAUGCUGACAUCACAGUUCUAUAGAUGUAAAUGUCUAUCGGCCACCAUUUUGUUUCAGACUGAAGUAUCUAAACGACUGUUGGAUGGAUUGUUGAGAUGUUCAGUGAUUGGCACCAUCGUCAGGCCAUCAUUUUAAUGUGAACAACACUUUGGUUUCUGAAUAAAUAUCUGCAGAAUGAACGAUAUUCUCAUCAGCCUCAGCUAUAAUGUGUGUUCAUUGCAAAUAAGCUAAUGUUAGCAUGCUAGCACUCUGGAGUAAGAUGGUUCACGUGGUAAACAUUAUUUACAUCUGUUAGCAGUAAAGAUUAAGAUGACUGGCAUCAAUGUCUGAUCUCAGCACUCACGUCUAAAAGAAAAUCUUUACUGCAAUUUUGUUUCUUUGAUUAAAUAUUUUAAAUGAACAUCAGUUUGCCUCUGAAGUGUUUAGUCCAACCAAACUGCAAACAUCACGUUCAUGAGCAGAGUUCAGGAAAGUAAAAUGAAAUAAAUGAUUAAUUUUCCGCCUCUUCUGAGAAACGGAGUUUUGUUUUUAAAUCCCGGACUGCUGUUGUCCUGAUGUGUUCUCAUCUCGCACUCAAAACAAACAUCACAGUUAACAUCUGUGAGGACAAACAGAUCAAUGGAUGACGUCAGCCGCUCGUCAUGUGACCCAGCUGGCAGUUUAUGAAUGAGUGUGUAUGGACAGGAGAGCAGGUGAUAGGUGAGGGGGAGGAGCCAGGUGAGGUGAGGACUGAGGGGUCUCAGAGUUACAUCUUGGGCUGCGAUCUGAGUGACAUGACCUGGAUGCAUGUCAGUGACAGCUAUAACAAGAAGGGUUUGAAUUCUUGUAUUAAAGUUGUCUCAAUCUAUCCUGUUGUCAGCAGUGGAACCAAAAGACAGGAGCUAAUGCCGUCCCACAAUUCAACAUUCGAGCCGUACGCCAUUUGGCCAUUCACGAAAGGAUCCGACUCUGAACUCUGGCAGGUUCUGUUAAUCAGAUUAAUGUCGGCCUCUGUAACCUGCAGCCUGAUGAAGUGUGCAGAUCACGCUCAGCACCACAGGUCAGAGCCUCAGCUGCUGGCUGCACACCAGAGUUCACGGUUUGUACUCAGGACACGUUUCCUCUGUUUGUUCUUCGCCUCUGAUUCCUGUGUGUCCAGGGAUUUUGCCCCGAGGCGAGGUCCGAGUUUAACAGCAGUUAAAUGGGUUCAUUAAGUCCUCUGAACUGAAGCUUUUUUCCACUUUACAUUAAUGCACACACACACACACACACACACACACACACACACACACACACACACACACAGAAAAAUGUGACUAAUUUAUUCAAGGCAGCGUUUCUGUAAAAGAAGAUCUACAGUCCAGACUGAGGAGAUAUAAAAACACAGAGCUGAACAUGUUCUCAGGUCGUCUCGAAGUCGAAAUCUGAAUCAAAAGUUUCUGUUUUUGUGACUCUAACAGUACUCAGUCUCAUUUUCUAAUCUUCCAGGACACAAAAACAAUAUGAACCCGUUUAGUAACUU